AGUGCUGUAGUUUAAUGGAUAAAACGGUCGCUUACGAGGUAACAUUGAUUCUUGACAAGUCGAUGCUACCGGCGAUUAGAUGCAGGUUCAAGUCCUGUCGGCACUCCCA
rnacentral:tRNA from 1 species